GGAACUUCUUCCUGUCUGAGGGGAGGGAUCUGGAACUAAGUCCUCUCAUUGGACUCAGGCUUCUAGAAGAGAGAAGGCUCUGAUAUCUGGAUCACCUGCCACCUCUUAGCCUUUACUAGCCCAAGGCCAACAUCCCUCCCUCCUCCAGCCAGGUACGGAGGCUGGAAGCUCCUUGCCACCCAGGCCUGUCCCUCUCCCUAGGUAGAGCAGUGGUCCUCAGACCUGUGGGCUGGAACCCUCUGAGGGACAAACGACCCUUUCGCAGAUAUCAGAAUAUUAUAAUUCAUCACAGUAGCAAAGUUACAGUUAUGAAGCAGCAGCGAGGAUAAUUUUACGGUUGGGGGGUCAGCACAACCUGAGGAACUGUAUUAAAGGGUCACAGCGUUAGGAAGGCUGAGAACCACUGGGCUAGGGGAAAGAGCUCCCAGGAGAGAAGUUCAGGUUUGAAAAGGAGAUAGCGGGCUGGAGAGAUGGCUCAGUGGUUAAGAGCACCCGACUGCUCUUCCAGAGGUCCUGAGUUCAAUUCCCAGCAACCACAUGGUGGCUCACAACCAUCUGUAAAGAGAUCUGAUGCCCUCUCCUGGUGUAUCUGAAGACAGCUACAGUGUACUUAUAUAUAAUAAAUGAAUAAAUAAAUCUUGAAAAGGAGAUAGUAUGGAGGGACCAAGGAGGAGAGGAGGACAGCAUGUGAGGAAGGGUGUGAGCAGUGGAUAAGCUUACCAAGCCUUCCACGCUCUCCUGAGAGACAGACAGACCUCCAUGACCUCACUGAGCUUCCUCAGCUGAGCUGGGUGUCAGAAUCUCUGUCCCCUGGCUGUCAGCCUAGUUAUCGAGGUCCUACUGGCCUGGAAACCGUCUGCCUGAGCACUGUCUGGCCUGCAUAUCCCAGAGCAGGUACAAUGUUAGUCCCAGCCUGCCAAGUGUGGCACGUGUACCUUUAAAAGGCUCCCACCAUCCAGCCAGCUCUCUCACUCUGUCUCUUUCUGUCUCUCUGUCUGUCUCAGUAAGUCUGUCCAAGCUGUCUGUCUGCCUGUCUCACCCCCACUCUGAGGUGGCCUUUCGCUCCCCACCCCUCAGUAAAUCUCUUGCGUGAGAUCUGUUGCACGAUGUGAUAUCUACUGUCCACCUUGGCCCCGACCACAGACACCCUAACAGUGUCCUCUGCACUGGGGCAGCCUGGAGCAGGACAUAGGAAUCCUGGCCAUGGCUUGGCAUCCAACGUCACACAUUUCAACACCCUGCUCUCACUUACUGACAAGGGUGACAGAUAUUUAGGGGGAGGGCCCUGGACACACUCAGAAUACAGAAGGAGGCAGAACUGAACUUCACCUAUGUUAAUGUGGUCCCCACCAAGGAUGGUGUGGGGACUUCUGCUUGGACUUUUCAUCUGAAAAGCCCGAGUUCUUCUUUCUCUGAGAAAGCUCAUGUCUGAACAGUUUGACCCAUGGCACAUACAACACAGCCUUCAGUCCCCACAACCCUCAGUACCACCCUGCCUACAUCAUAUCCACCUGUCCGUCUCUACCACACCUGUCACCUCUGCCACCACGGACAGGUGUGUGCUGGUGCCUGAUGCCAUCUUCUGCGAGGAGAGAUUCUCGGCCAGCUAGGGGACAGAGUCCACAAACUUUGCUUCUCCCUGCAGUGUCCCCUAGACCUGGUGGUAGGAAAGGCUGUGUUCUUCCUCUUCUGACCCCUACCGUCCAUGCUUUAGAGGGCCUCUUCCAUGACUGCAGACCGAGCUUCGAGAGACAGAAUGGAAACAAAACUAGUCCCAUUUCCCAUGCCCCAUCUCCUGACGCUGGUGUCCCUGCAUUGCCCUAGAUGGUGCAAGCCAUACCCAUUUCUGCCCUUGGAAGGACACUGCCCAAACUUCACAGGCUAGAGGAGGCCAGGGAGGGCAGACGUGUUUUCCAGAUACUGCCAACCUUGCAACCCACCCAACGCACACUUGCUGGAUGCCUACUGUGUGUGUCAGUGGACGUGUAAGAUACUCCUUCCUUCAGUAAGACCUCUUUACCUUGAUCAUCAUCUGUAAAAUCCAGGCUAUAACAGGAUCACCCUGGGACGGGGGUCUCACUAGCAGCAGCAGUACCCUAGGCUGAUCUGGAAUGCCCGAUCCUCUUGCUUCCCAUUCUGGAGCACUGGGAUUACAGGUAUCUGGCAUCACAACAGCCUUUCGAAAUCCUUAGUGAGAUUUGUGCGGGGUGGGGGUGGGGUGGGGUGGGGAGGUGUUGGGCACCCGGUGUAAAUUGUUAUCCAAACCACAGACAGCGUGAUAGCUAUUACUAAGGUGGCUUGGGUCCCUGUCCCCUGUUCACAAUAUUUGUGUGUCUCUUUUCUUCCUCAUCUCUUCUAUCCCCGGUCCCCAAGUCUGAACCCCACGCUGGGCUGAAGCCUCCUAAGGGGUCCCCACCCAGCAUGCUCCCCUCCAGGUGCACAGAGACCUUAUUCUGCAGGCGGGCGAUCCCUUGCCCCGUUCCUAGGGGACCCUGCCCGGUGACCUCAUGACCCAUGUUUGCUCGGGCAAAGGGGCCUUUUGUUCCUGGGGCCAGGCCUGCAGGGCCGUGCAGCUCCCAACCGAAUCCAGCUAAUUACGGUCCACAGGGCAGUCGGGGCGCGCACUCGCCCACCACUUUCCCACGGCCGCGAAGAAAGCCCCUCAGUGAGGCUCGAAGAACAGAGGGCAAUUCAGCGUCUUCUGCUACCCGGGGCCUCCGUGUCUUCUGCUGACGACCUCUGCUUGUCCUUGUCUGGCCGAGCGCAGACACACUGUUUGCUCUGAUUUUCUUUCUUUCUCCAUCUAUGUCUUUUCUUCUUUUUUCCUCCAUCUAUGUGUCUCUCCAGUUCGUUCCCUCAUCUGUGUUUUCCUAGGUGCCCAUAUGUAUAGCUGUCCAUUCCGAGGCUUACUGUGUCUGUCCCUGAACCUUCCUCACGCCAGGAUCAACCUCCCUGAUCUGGAGGGGGGGGUCCAUUCUCGGAGCCCCACCAUCUUGAAUUUUGGCUGCGCUAGUCCGCAGCUUCAGGUGUCCCUCGGCCCUUGGUCUCUCCUAGAUGGAAAGAAAUCGGAAAAGCCCUGGGGAGAGUUAGGGGAUACAAAAUGGUAACAUUCAUAAGUCUGUGAGUUCAAUUCCCAGGAUGAGAGGGAGGGACGGGAGGAGGGAAGCUAAUCAUUCCGGGGGCCCAGAUUUUUUGUGAAUGGCCUUGGGUGAAAUUUUGGGCCUCCUCUAGUGAGGAAAGCUCCAAGUUAGAGGGAAGCAUUUGAGGUCCGCGCACGCGCGCGCGCUCACACACACACACACACACACACACACACACACACACACAUAUGCAGAGGUUUUUAUAGCACCGUCUGAGUACAGGGGCUAGUGGAGAGCCCUUGGAGGAUCCGUGUGUUGUGGCCAAUUCCUACCCUUGAGGGGACUCAGUUGGGGUGGCCAAGGAAAGGGCCUGAUGUUUUGGUCUGUUCUAGCCACUGUUGAAUUUGGACAUUGUUUAGAACUCAGUGGAAGACCAUGUCCAAAGACUACUGGACUAGUCAUGAGUUGGUUACUCCUGGAAAUUUUAGGACCCAAAAUCCACCCCACCCCCUGGAAAUUUUAGGACCCAAAAUCCACCCCACCCCCAUCCCACCCCCAUCUGCUCCCUGGCAAGAUUUUUCUGGAGCCCUGGCUGUCCUGGAACUUGCUCUGUAGACCAGGCUGGCCUUAAACUCAGGGUUCCACCUGCCUGUGCCUCCUGAGUGCUGGGAUUUAAAGGUGUGCAACAGGCAGAGAAAAAAAAAAUCACAAAUGGUGUGAAGAGCGCCGUGUUGUUCUAGUUGGGGAGGCCAUGGGAAAAACAAACAUGGGAGCCCGGCUGUUAGAUGGGGUAGCACACGCAGGAAAGAUGCAAAGGGCUGUUGGGAUCUAGGUGAGGAAGGUGGCUUUUCUGGAUUGGUGGCAUUUCAGUGAAAUCUUGAAGUGAGGUCUGGUGCUAUUUCCAGGGCAAUGAACCUAACAGGCUCACAGGCAGGUUCCCAUCAGAGCUGCCAUGCGGGUCUUCUGGGACAUUUGGUGAUUCUUGAGAACUGCCUGGCUCUCCCCUGGAUAGCAGCAGGAAAAGGCUGGUGAGAGAACCUGGGCUAUAGGAAGUCUCUGCCCUUUAGUUUUCCUGCCUUUGUUCCCUCUGCUGGGGAUGUUCUGACCUGGUAAUCCUUGAACGAAUAGACCAUAGGUGACACGCGGGGGAAAGGCCCCUAGACAUGGACUGGCAGUCUGUGUUCCAUAGGAAAGUAGGAUCCUCCUCUGUGCAGGGAAACCAAGAGCUUCUUUGUAUCCAGGUAACUGAGGACAAAUGAUUAGUGUGGUGCUGUGAGCUUAUGAAUCACCAGCUAACACAGGGUUGUGGGUAUUUGGAUCAGGAGGCAGGAAAUAGACAGCAAAGUGUGGCCUCCAGAAGGCUCGCAUUGACCUGGACAGAGUAGGAGAAGGUGGGAGGCAGAAGACAGGACAUUUGCAGUCACAGUAGGACCUGAGAACCCCAGCCUGAGUGGUGAGUGGAGAGGUAUUGGGUACAUGAGGGCAACAGAGGAGGCUGGUAGCUAUUCUCCGCUUCUCACUACUCUUCUCACUGACAAAUCCAGAGGAGACUGGCUCUGGUUAGAAUAUCUCUGAGUGUGAGCGGCCCCUCAUCCUGCCUAGCCUCGGUGAGCUUGACUCAGGGGCCCUGGCAACCCUCCACCCUGGGCCUUCCUCCAUAAGCCAUGCUGUGUGGCCGGUGUGAAACAGUGGUGUGGUUCUGUAUAGGACCGAAGACAGGAAACUCCUGCUGGGAAUUAGAGCAGGGGUGGAGAGUAAUAGGUGGUGUGACCAAGUUUUUUGUGUGCUUUUUCUUCAUUCUACUUUUGAAAAGUUGCAACAACAACAACAACAACAACGUCAAAGUCCCAUGGGGUUUGGGACUGCGGUUCAGAAGGGGCUAUAAAGGUUCUGUGUGCUCAUCACACAUGGGGUAGGGUUAGAAGUUACCUGAGUGCGUCUACCCUGAUUCCUGGGUAGCCCAUCAAUGACCAGGCUUGGACCUGCUUCUGCAGGUCCUGAAGUUUGCUUGGGCCCAACUUCCCCAGUCAUCUUCUCUACUGGUGAGCCCCUUCAAGCCUCCCUGCGGGUAAGUCAACACCAUGCCGGAAGCUAGCCAUGACCAGCUAGACGUGGACACGGCCUCACGAAGCACCUCAUCUCGUAGGAACAUCUUGUAGGAACGGAAGUGAUCAGUUCACAGCCUCUCAGAGAAUCGGUGUCAGAACCAGAAUGAGAGGACUCAGGUGUCUUAGCUUGGUCUAGGAUGUACUGGCUGAGAGGCCCGAGGCAAGCCUGACGCACCUCAGAGCAUCAGUUUCCUCUUCUCUAGACCGGACCUCUUUGCUUUUCCCAAUAGUUGUGGCUGCUUUAAGAAUCACACGGGACUAUGCGGAAAGAGGCGCGCUGAAAUAAGGUUUAAACAUAGGGGAGGAAAGGGGAAGGUUAGGGGUUUUUCUGUGGCCAGGGUAAUUAUUUUGUGUUGCAUUGCUAUGGUAGAUACGUGACACUUGUUCAUGCUUGCUAACGUGCAUGAAAGCCUACAGUGUCGAUGGUUCAGCGGCUCAAAAUGUUUGUCACGAAGCACAAUGACCCAAGUUUAAUCCCCAGGAGCAACAUAGUGGUAGAAGGGAACCAACUUCUACCCCCUCCACACAGGCACACACCCUCCUCCCUACACACAGUACAUACAAAAAUGAAGUGUGUUUAAAAAAACAACCAAACGGUAUUUUGUAGCACAAGGAGUGAGACUUUAUGCAAAUUUCAAGAAUCACUUAGAUGGUUAGAUGAUGCUAUCAUUGUUUGCAGAAAUGAACAGAACUAACUGAAGAACAUAUAUAUGUAUAUAUGUGUAUGUAUAUGUGCGUGUGUAUAUAUAUGUAUAUAUAUAUAAUUUUGAGGCAGCCUCAUUUAAGUGAAUGUUGGGAGAAGGGGGCAGUUCUGACCUAAGCGACCUUGAAAAUGAGAGAAAUGUGUUAAGGCCGGUAACAAAAGAAACCAUGCCCAUGUGCUGUCUCCAGUUGAUAAAACUUUCCUUUGGAGGAAGGAUUAGCUAGUCCCGAGUGCAGGAGUAUAGGGACUGAAUAAUUAGGCAAAUGGAUGGUGAAUGGCAGGUGCGGGGUCUCUCACUGUGGAAGCGGGAGGCUGCUGGCAGGUAAAGACUUCAGGCUAUCCUGAUCCCUAGGUCAAUGACCUAGAACUGUGGAAGCACUCGAGACCAGGGCCUCUUUGAUAUCCACACGGGUGGACAGCUACGGAAACAGUGAUGCAUUCGUGUGUGUCUGAGCAGUUAGUAGGCCCACUACACUCACAAGCUCUGUCAGCUGAGUCUAGUAGGAUUAGCAGUAGCGGUGGACACACUAAUGUCCAGAUUUGGUUCUUGGUUUCAGUCUUGGGACACUGGACUAGCCCAGUCAGUAGAGGCAUGAAACUCCUAAUUUUCAUCCUCGAUGAAGGGAACCAGGGCUUCCUGGAGAGGUUAGUGAUUCAAAAAUGCAGCCUGGAUCAUCUUCUAUUGCCAGAAUGCUGUGGAGUUACAAACACACAGACAGUGGGAGUGUGCCGAAGAAACAGAGGAGUCAUAUGAAAGCUUGCCUGGCUAACACUGGACGCAUGUGCACAACCAGAUAAAUGCAGCGGCACUAGACCGUUACCCAGAGCACAGAACGAAUACCUGAGCCUCCGUGCUUGCACGGAGGAAGGACAGACUGAAUAAACUAGAGAAAAGAUAGGAACUCCUGGUGCAGAAGAAUUGCAGGUAAUUGAGGUGACUUCCAGUCAGCACAGAUUUCAAAGAUGAAGGGAGACCUUUAUCCUAGCAGAGAGGCAUGUUCUCCCUCAGCUAGUUGUCAGAGCUAACUGACCGAGAUGUACGCCCCGUGUGACACAAUGAGAGGGCAUUUUGCCUCUGUGAUCUUCCUUUACAAACCUGGAAGUCCCAUCUAACCAUGAGAAAAAGAUUAGACAAGGGAUGUCUGAGAAGCCAUCACAGUUCAGGAGACAUGAUGACUCCGUGUAGAGAAGAAUGUUAGGUGAAGGAGCCAAGGUGACUGAAUGCAGGGGACUUACAGUUUAGUAACACUGCUUGUAACAUCACGCAUCUGAUCAGGAUGCAUCCAUAUUGGCUUCUGGGAUGUGACAAGUGAGACCCGCCAUUUUGAGGUGACACUGAGGGGAGAGACUAUGGGAACUCACCAUCCUUGGGAUUGCUCCCCAUACAUGUAAAACUCCACCAAAAUAAAAAUUCUAUGUAGAAAGCGGGAGGCCUUGUGCUAUUCUCUGCUUAUGGUGGCUGGAAUUGGAAGUGCUUUGACAGUGUUUCAAGGAAGUUCAAAGAAGUUUCAGGGUUCAGAACUCUAGACACGGAGAUGGUGUCUAAGAAGGAGGUCUGUGCUUGUCUUCGCCUGAGAAGAGGUACCACAGGACAAGAUGCCUUGAGGAUCUUCACUGUUUGGGGAGGGCGUUCGGAGCCUUGUAGGAUUUCUCGCCCUUGGCACAAAGAAGCCGAGCUGAGAGGAAGUCCAAGUGAUUAGCCACAGCUGGUGGAGGCACAGAGGCCCGUGUGCAGAGGAAGAGGCCUCCCGCUCUCAGGUCUGGCUGUGUUCCCGGUUGAUAGCAGUCUUCACUUGCUAACCAUGUAAGCCAUCUUGCAAAUGGACCCUCCCACCUAGAGAUGAGUGUCCCACAGUCACCAUCUUGUGGAGCAGAAACUAACCCUUCUGUCUUAGUUAGGGCUUUACUGCUGUGAGCAGACAUCGUGACCAAGGCAACUCUUAUAAAGGAUAACAUUUAAUUGGGGCUGGCUUACAGGUUCAGAGGUUCAGUCCAUGAUCAUCAAGGUGGGAACAUGGCGGCAUCCAGGCAGAUAUGGUGCUGGAGGAGCUGAGAGUUCUACAUCUUGUUCCAAAAGCAAAUAAGAGAAGACUGGCUUCCAGGCAGCUAGGACAAGGGUCUUAAAGCCCAUCCCCACAGCGACACACUUCCUCCAACGGGGCCACAGCUUCUAAUAGUGCCAUUCUCUGGGCUAAGCAUGUACAGACCAUCACACCUUCUCAUCGUGACCUUCCCAAUGUAGAUUCAUGAGGUGACAAGGAUGUAUCGAGCUACAGAGUUUUGCACGGCAAUCUGAGCAUCCGAUGGCAGGCCCUGAUGGCCGCUGUGUACUAAAGUGUGUUGUGGUGGGGAAGCAAGCCUAGAGCCAGAGUGCCUGAGUUUGGACCCUGACUAUACCAGGUAUGAACUGUGCCACUCUCUGCAAGCUAUCCAGCAUUUCUGUGCCUUGGCUGAAUCAUCUGGAAACUGGAGAGAAUGGCGGCCGUGUAGAAUCACUAGGGAGGGUGAAAUGGAAGCCACGGGGCAUGUGCAUGACUACUCUGCCAAGCUGCGAUGUCAGCCCUUCUGGGUCCUGGGAUGUGGGCCUGCUGGGCCCUCCACUGCAUCACGUGAUCCUUGCCCAGCUCCCAUCACUUUUCCUGCAGUGCCAAAUUCCACCUGUGAGAUUGGCCUUGUUCACUCCCAUAAUGUUCUUGGGUCCCCCGGGUCCUCCCUCACCCACCCUGGUUCUGAUUGCUGGUCUGGCUUCCUUCUCUCUGGACUCUUAGGAAGUGAGAAGAAUGUCAGGUGGCAGUGGGGAGAGAGCCUGCUGUGGAGGUAGGGUGGCCGUUCUUGCUUAUUGGGUUCCCUGGGAAACAGAAGUCUUCCCAUCUAUCUCAUGGGAAGACAUGGAUUUUUGUGGCUAAAGAGUCAGGAGGGGGUGCUCAGCGAUGUAGGUGAGUUUUAGUUUUUCUGAGAAGUGCCCAAGGACACAGGAUGGUUCUUGAGAAGGCUCAGGUUUCAUCUUAGUUAGAUUUAGUCAGAGAAAGGCGAAUGUAUGCAGUGGGAUUUUCCUGCACGUCUUUGCACAGGUUCUGAGAACUCAGAAGGGCUUUGCAUCCGCCUAUGCCACGGGACUCAGGUGUCACCAACUCUAGGGGCUGCAGGGAUAUAGUGACCUCAAAUUAGAGCUUUUCAAACCAAGAUGGACACUGAAGGAGGGACUGAAAUUCUCCUGGGCUGUGAGGGUCUUUAAUGGGGAGCCUGAGUCACUAACCCCUGAAAGGCAGAGGGCAUGAUGUUCUUUUAGCCCCUAACAACUCUUACCCAGGCCUGGGAGAAUUGACCCACUUCUUCAUGUUAGGGAAACUGUGUUGCUGGUCUUGAUCGCCAAUGACUGUAGGAUUUAGAACUGGAAAGAAAGAAGACCUAGAGGAUUGGGGUACAUGGGGUACCUCUAUGGGAAGCAGAAGGGGCAGGCCCAUGGCAGGGUAGGAGACUGGCUUGAGGGAGAACUACAGAAUAGCCAGGAGAGUGUGUGCAGAGCUGACACCAGGCUCCAGUUUCUGGUGAUUUUCUCAAGCUUCUGAGUUAGUGUGUUUUGGGGACUCAUGUGGAGAGAACCCCAAAUCUGAGUCAGUGCUUUGCCAUUCACCACGGGGAUGGUGGCAGGAAAGUUCUGUUUGUACUAUAGGAACAGCAUUACUCAUGCGCACACCCUAUGAGACUAGCAUUGCAUGUAAGUGCACCCUCCCACCCCUGAACGGUUUUCACAGGAAAGCGGUUUUUGUUAGUUUUCAGGGCCUUUGAUACUUUGUAACCUGUGGGUCUGCAAGGAGCUAUAAGAGGCCUGUCCAAGCACUGAGGUGCAUCUCGGGCUCUUUUCUCUAAAAGCAAACCAGUUCAAUGGCUUCCCACACUGGCUGCUCACCGCAAACUCUGCGAGUCAGUGCAGAGUCAGUGCGAGGUCCAGAGCAGGACCACUUUUAAGGUCCAAAUGACUCCAAAAGCAGGCAGGACCCCAGCCCUCAGGCAUACUGGGCUGAGCAGCUAGAACUGCAGCGGGAAGACACAGGAUGACCAGUCCCUUCCAGGCUGGAUUUAGUCAGCUGCCUCUGCAGUGGCUGCUGACCCACAGCAGAGCACAAGGUGCCCUGUAUUCAGGGUGGCUCCAGCUUUCUGUCCUGCAGGCCUCACAAGCCGCUCAGCCUCAGUUGCUUUUGGAGCAGGGAGGUAACAAGGUCCCCCUUGCAGGUCUUGCAGGCAGCUGGCGGGAGGCCUGGAAUCUCAGCAGCUUCAUUGAGAUGCUGCCCCAGCCCUGCCCUAGUUCAGGAUUUCAGAGCCUUCGGCCCCCUGUCCCAGCCCUCCUCUGUUCCCUGUGUCACCCUGGAAACAGCUCUCGGUGACUGGUGGCCUGAGGGAGAAUGGUGGGCAGGAAAGGCCGUGGGAAGGGAGCAGGCUGCCUGAUCUGGGAAUGUCUAGCCCAACCAAGGUCAGCAUGGAGAGGCCAGGGCUGGGCCCACCCUGAAAGCCCCUUCUGAUGUUCGGUGACUUAGAGGGGAUCGUUUCUCCCUUGGUUUAUUUUCCUUGAUUUAGGCUACCAUUUUCUUAAUGACUGGAUGGAUAGAUGCUUAAACUUCCUCUGGUAGUUUGUGGGGUUUGACCUGGGCACCCCACCCCUGUGGGUGACUAAGGCAUCGCCUCCCCCUAGUUCCAGAUAAGAGAAACUACACUUUGGUACCAUCUGGGUGCCAAGUCAUCUGUAUUCCCCUCCAAGCCAGUGCACUCCUCUUCAAGCCCUGGAGGGAAGGCCUCUGGGGAUGGCUGAUCGCUCUUUGGACUUUUUCCAAGCUGAGAAGCCCUGUCCCUUUGGCUGGGCGGUAACUUACCUGUGGGCAUAUAAGUGAUAAUAGCAACAUGCUUAGUUUGGCCUUUGGAACUCUGUGGCACUGUGGAUUCUUUGUGCAGUGCCACAGACAUGGUGAACUGAGAAGGUCAGGCUCAAGUGAAUGGCCCGAGUUCAAGGCCACUGUGAUUGCCCUGGGUUCGGGCUCAGCCCCUGUGUUGUCUGGCCUCCAUGUCCCGUCAUGAGACCCAGGGUAUCUCCUGGUCCUUUGCUUUUAGGCAGGAAGCUCCUAGCUCCAGGACAGGCUGAAUAAAGGUCAUAGCUUUCUGCUCUUCCUACCUCUGCUUCUCGACUUCUACCCCUGGGCAAGAACCCUUGGCAAGGGGGCAGUGCUGCUAGGGCUCCAGGAUCCAGGGCUAAGGGGUGGGAUCGGGAAAUGAAGCUGGUAAAGUUCAGGUUCCUUGGCUGAAGGAUCUCCAAGUGGAUGAGGGGAGGAGGACCGGUGGACCAAGAGGGACCAUGUCUGGGUAGCCUGUUCCCUCUGCCUUCGAUUCUGGCCCCAGGAGCCAGUUCUUUGUCCCAUCUCUCUGAACCAUGACUCCAGACUAAUUUUUUUUUUCUCUAUCCUUUGGGUCAGUGACUGAGUUCCUCUACCAAACUCAUACAUAGUCUGUCCUUAGGCCCAGACAUUGCCUAGGUUUGUUCCCUGCCGUCCUGUGUGUGUGUGUGUGUGUGUGUGUGUGUGUGUGUGUGUGUGUGUGUGUGUUGAUGGCAGAGUCUUGACAGCAAAGAACUUGGGGGACAUUAAGCCUUGGGUUUUCUCUGAUCUGGAGGAAGGCGGGGUUGUGUGAGAAGGGCUGAGGGCAGCUGGUCUGACCCACCCCAUGGCAGCUGGGCUGGGAAGUUGGGGAGGCAGGAAGCCUCCCUUCCCCUUUUUGGAUUCUAACUUCCCUCCCUCUGGCCUCUCUGCCUCCUGCCAGCUUGGGUGGAACAGUAUCCAGCACAAAGGAAGAGGUAUAAUGGGCACUGCCACUGGUCAGAUUGGGAAACUUGUCAGGACAGAGGACUUCUUGGAGUCCCUUACAUCACCCUGCUGGAUCUCAAAGAAGAAUGAAAGCCUUUGACUCUGGGCUGUUUUGAUUCCCCACUCCACCACUGCCUGCCUGAACAUCAUGGGGACACGAGGACAUCCUCUGGGCACUGAGGAAGGAAAACUGAAAGAGGCUGGGGACCAACCGAGAAAACCAAAGCCCGUGAAGAGGAAGUGCUGGCCGCUGCUCUGUCUGACCCGCUAACAUGGCCUUUGGUCAGGCCUGUAUCAGCUUCUCCAGGCCAAUGCAGCUGCUCACUCGAAUGCUUCAGCCACACUUCCGGUGCCCGGCUUGUGGGGACUAUAGAGACAGAGGCUGCCAGCACCAGUAAACAGAUGCUCUGGCCAUGGCUACUCAGAUGAGCUUGGUGUCAGCAGCAGAAGGAAGGAGGCCUUGCUGACACAGCGACCCUGAGAGCUGUGGCCAUGGUGUUUCCAGGGUAGCAACACCAUACCUUCCUUCUGCUCCCUUCUAGGAAAGCCUGGGUUGUCUGGGUUCCAGGGAGGGGGCGGGGCAUAUUUAAACAGGGUGGCCCUGGGGUUUGAGACCUCCCCCCUCCCCAUUGCCCGCCCACCACAGGCACAGGCACAGGUGAAAAGCAGGAGAGAAAGAGAUUCUGGGGGCAGCUUAGCAAUGUGUAAUGAAAUUCGAACUGUGACAGGAGUCGGUCGCUUCUGGGAAUUGACACCAAGGAAAUAAGAGUUCAUACAAGGUGUGUGCACCAGGACGCCGAAUCUCUGCCUCCUGCAGGGCUGAUACUGCUCUUAGAGACUGGAGCAGUCACACAAUGGAGAACUUGUAUGCUGUUCACACAGUGUGGAAUUAUCAAUAAAGCUGCCAAGAGCACAUGUCCUUUAGCUG